rnacentral:rRNA from 1 species
CCAGACUCCUACGGGAGGCAGCAGUGGGGAAUAUUGCACAAUGGGGGAAACCCUGAUGCAGCGACGCCGCGUGAGUGAAGAAGUAUUUCGGUAUGUAAAGCUCUAUCAGCAGGGAAGAAAAAAUGACGGUACCUGACUAAGAAGCACCGGCUAAAUACGUGCCAGCAGCCGCGGUAAUACGUAUGGUGCAAGCGUUAUCCGGAUUUACUGGGUGUAAAGGGAGCGCAGGCGGUGCGGCAAGUCUGAUGUGAAAGCCCGGGGCUCAACCCCGGUACUGCAUUGGAACUGCGUGGCUUGAGUGUCGGAGAGGCAGGCGGAAUUCCUAGUGUAGCGGUGAAAUGCGUAGAUAUUAGGAGGAACACCAGUGGCGAAGGCGGCCUGCUGGACGAUGACUGACGUUGAGGCUCGAAAGCGUGGGGAGCAAACAGGAUUAGAUACCCCUGUA